rnacentral:rRNA from 1 species
GAUGAACGCUGGCGGCGUGCCUAAUACAUGCAAGUCGAGCGAACGGACGAGAAGCCUGCUUCUCUGAUGUUAGCGGCGGACGGGUGAGUAACACGUGGAUAACCUACCUAUAAGACUGGGAUAACUUCGGGAAACCGGAGCUAAUACCGGAUAAUAUUUUGAACCGCAUGGUUCAAAAGUGAAAGACGGUCUUGCUGUCACUUAUAGAUGGAUCCGCGCUGCAUUAGCUAGUUGGUAAGGUAACGGCUUACCAAGGCAACGAUGCAUAGCCGACCUGAGAGGGUGAUCGGCCACACUGGAACUGAGACACGGUCCAGACUCCUACGGGAGGCAGCAGUAGGGAAUCUUCCGCAAUGGGCGAAAGCCUGACGGAGCAACGCCGCGUGAGUGAUGAAGGUCUUCGGAUCGUAAAACUCUGUUAUUAGGGAAGAACAUAUGUGUAAGUAACUGUGCACAUCUUGACGGUACCUAAUCAGGAAGCCACGGCUAACUACGUG